UACACUCCUGCGGGAGGCAGCAGUGGGGAAUUUUGGACAAUGGGCGAAAGCCUGAUCCAGCAAUGCCGCGUGAGUGAAGAAGGCCUUCGGGUUGUAAAGCUCUUUUGUCAGGGAAGAAACGGUGAGAGCUAAUAUCUUUUGCUAAUGACGGUACCUGAAGAAUAAGCACCGGCUAACUACGUGCCAGCAGCCGCGGUAAUACGUAGGGUGCAAGCGUUAAUCGGAAUUACUGGGCGUAAAGCGUGCGCAGGCGGUUUUGUAAGUCUGAUGUGAAAUCCCCGGGCUCAACCUGGGAAUUGCAUUGGAGACUGCAAGGCUAGAAUCUGGCAGAGGGGGGUAGAAUUCCACGUGUAGCAGUGAAAUGCGUAGAUAUGUGGAGGAACACCGAUGGCGAAGGCAGCCCCCUGGGUCAAGAUUGACGCUCAUGCACGAAAGCGUGGGGAGCAAACAGGAUUAGAUACCCUGGUAGUCCCA
rnacentral:rRNA from 1 species